rnacentral:misc_RNA from 1 species
UUGAUUGAUUCAUCAUAAGACUCGGACGCACGGAGACGGGGUUUGACGGUCCACCGGGGGCCCCGACCGAGGACGGCCGGGUCGCCCCCGAGGCAACGGGGUCGGAUAACAGGGGGUUGGAGGUCGGGCCCGGGGGCCGUUCGCUCGGUAAUGAUCCCUCCGCAGGUUCACCUACGGAGA